rnacentral:rRNA from 1 species
UACGUAGGGGGGCAAGCGUUGUCCGGAAUCAUUGGGCGUAAAGAGCGUGUAGGCGGCCCGGUAAGUCCGCUGUGAAAGUCCAGGGCUCAACCCUGGGAUGCCGGUGGAUACUGUCGGGCUCGAGUCCGGAAGAGGAGUGUGGAAUUCCUGGUGUAGCGGUGAAAUGCGCAGAUAUCAGGAGGAACACCAAUGGCGAAGGCGACUACCUGGCCUGAUUCUUGACGCUGAGGCGCGAAAGCUAGGGGAGCAAACGGG